CGCUUUCCCUUGUGCUUGAUCUAACCAUGUGCUUGCCGCGCUCAAGACAAAACAAAACAUGGUUCCUUCAAGCACCAGGGAAGGCCA
ncrna:Petromyzon marinus (sea lamprey) microRNA pma-mir-218a precursor (pma-mir-218a-2)